UACGCUGCGUCUGCUCAGGCUGCGAGUUCCCGGCUCUGGGGACUCACCUUGCGGAGCUUACCCAGGCGGACUCUCCGCAGCCCCUGAUGGGUGUGUGUGUCAGACCGUUUACUAAACACCAGGACUGUUGUAGGCGACUAAAAGAAAACUGAGAUCCAGGAAAGGGAAGUGAUUUUCCAAAGACACACCUGUGAAAGGUGAGGAGAACAGCCCAGUGAGGCUGAGGCCACACAAUUAACCCCAGUCUUUGCACUACAACUCUACCAGGGAUCCUGGUUUGGCUCAUUUUCUUUCUUCUGCACCAUGAUUGUUCACCUUUUCAUUACCAGCAACAUACCCAAAGACCUAGCUAUAGACUCGUUGGAAUCUGUUACUUAGCAGCUGUGUGAAUCAAGUGUUCAAUAGGAAUAAUAAGAUGUAUUCAUCUUACCUUUUCAGAACAUUAUGAAGAACAAAUGUGGUAAGACAUAUGAAAAUGCUUUGUAAAGUGUUAGAUGCUUAAUACACAGAAGACAUUGCUUCCAGAUCUGUUUCAACGUACCCCAAGAAUGGAAUAAGUGGAAUAUGCUGGUUUCAUGCACUGUGGCAAGGGGGUCUCAUCUUGGCUAGACUUGAAUAAGUGGAUUUGUUGCCUGGCCUCUGUGGAUGGCUCUUUCUCUGGGCUUUUGUGUAUUUGAUUUUUUAUUUGCUCCAGCAGCCGUGUUGAACCAUGAAAGGACCUCAGGAAUGAAACCCACACACAGCAAAGCAACAAAGUGAAAGAAGCGUGGAUUCCUAAUGCAGGAGGCACUGAACCAAUCAAUACCCACUGCCCUCCAGACCUCCACAUGAAAGAAAAAAACUGCUGUCCUGUGUAAGACACUUUUAUUUUGUGUUUCUAUUGUAUGAGGUCAAACCUAAUAACAGAUAUAUUACACUCUAACAGAUACAUUACAUUGUAUAGUAGAAUUCUCAGACAGCAACCUUAUAAGGUGAUAGAUGCAGAAACAGGCCCAAAGAGUAAAAAUAAUUUGUUCAGAGUUUUCCAGCCAAGUGGCGAAGGUGAGAUUCUUACCUGGGUUUGUCUGAAACCAAUUUUCACUAUCUUUUUCAGUUAUGAUACACUGCCUAUUACGAAUGAAUGAAUCCUUUUUUUUUUUUCCAUUUACUUCCAUUUGAUUCAUUUAUUCCAGGGAGUGACACUUUUUCUGUAAAGGACCGAUAGUAAAUAUUUUAGACUUUGUGAGCAAUACAGUCUCUGUUGCAACUACUCAACUUUGUAAUGUAAAAGCAGCCAUAGACAAUAGUAAAUGAGUAGGUAUGACUAUGUUUCAAUAAAACUUUACUUACACAAGCAGGCAAUGGACAAUGUGGCCCAUGAGCCUUAGUUUGCCAACCCCUAAUGAAAUGGGAAAAGUUCCCUUGUCCCCUUCACAGGGCGUGCGAUGUGGGUGUGACUCACUUCUUCAGUCCCCACUGCACAAACCUCUAGGGAAGCAUACAGACAGGUAGGCUGUGGAGAUCUGACCCCACGGCAGUGUCUAGGGGUGACUGUUUACAGCCAAAGCCCCAGUGGGCACAUGUAGCAGGGUGCUCUUUUAGUUUAGCCGUCCGUGGGUGGCUUGUGUUAGCCAGCUCAAUUAAACCCCUGCCUUAUUGCAAGGACAGAGGGCUUUCUGUAUCUCGGGGUUCUUGCCUUGGUGUAGCAGAAGAAUUGGAUCACACGUGGGCUUGGAGAAUGAUUGCAAGGUUUUAUGGAGUGAAAGUAGCUCUCAGCAGGUGGAGGAGCCAAAAGGGAGAUGGUUUUCCCCUGGUGUCGGGCCGCUUGGCGGCCCAGGCUCUCCUCCCACUGCCCCAGCCAAACUCCAUGUCAUUCUGCCAGUUGGUGGCCUGCUGGCGUAAGUGUGUUCUCUCAACGUCCAGCUGCCCGCGUGUUCCUCCGCUGAUGUGCUCCUCUCGACGUCCAGCCGCCUGUUUGUCUACCUGCUAGGGUCUCAUGGUUUUUAUAGCACAGGAUGGGGGUGUGGCAGGCCAGGGUUGUCUUGGGAAAUGCAAUAUUUGGGCAGGAAAACAAAAUUAUGCCUGUCCUCACCUAGGUCCUUGGGCACACAUACGCAUGUCCCUGCCCCCUUCCCUAUCAUUUAAAGGGACACACCCUUCACUUCCCAGCACUUCUGUAUCACUAAUUUAUUGUAUUCUGAUGUUCCAUCACAAAAGUGCAUAGAGGACAUAUUAUAGAAGGUCCCCCACCUUCUGUGACAUUGUGAAAUUGCAAGCAUGCUCAUACUGCUGUCCAACAUAAGGGCUAAUGACAGUGUGGUUCAGAAGAUCCCUAAACUGACGGCCAUGAGUUCAUAUCUGCCAUUGCUACGAUUUGAAUGUGUCCCCAAGAAAGCAUGUAUUGGAAACUUAAUCCCCAAUGCAACAGUGUUGGGAGGUGAGGCCUAAUGAGAGGUGGUUAGGCCAUGCAGGCUUCACCCUCAUGAAUGGAUUAAUACCAUUGUCACAGGAAUUAGUUCAUUAUAAAAGGGCAAGUUUGAUUUCCCAACCCCUCUUUCUCACCCUCUCACCUUCUGCCAUGGGAUGACACAGGAAGAAGACACUCCCCAGAUGCCAGCAACUUGAUAUUGGACUUCCUGCCUUUAGAAACGUGAGAAAUAAAUUUUUUUUCUUUAUAAGUUACCCAGCCUCUGGCAUUCUGUUAUAGCAGCACAGAACAGACUAAGACAGCCACUGAAACCAGAUCUAUGUCCCGGACCACCCUCAUUUGCCUCAAUUUCUCUCUAUAUAUAAUAAGAACAAAUAAUGCAAAUGCUAUCUAUACUUCCCCGUGACUACAGGGAGACUAAGGGAUGAAAUAUAUAAUCACACUUUGAAAAUAUAUAAAUGUUAUCCAACCAUACAUCCAUUGUUUCACAUCAGGCUGGGCCACAUAGCUUCCUCUGUACCCUUUAGUUUCCUGCCCUUAUCUCUAUCACAGGCCAUAUAUCAAAUGCCUAGUAAUUAUCAGUGCAUCUAUAUAUUCCCUAUUCUCCCCAACAAUACAUAAAAGGUUAUUGCAUUGCAUUGAAUUAUAAGACUUGAUUACUGGAAAGUCUAGACAUCACUCAGGGUCAUUGUGGGGCAGCAUGGGGAUUAUGCAGUGUCAUUAUCCACUAAGCACACUGGAGGUCACACCAGUGAAGUAGCACGUCAGAUGUAAGCAAGACAGAGCUGGGUUGUGAAACUCUGGAACCAGCUGAGCUGAAAGUUUGUGUAAUUUCCUUCCUGCUCAGAGAUGGUUCCAUAUAGUAGACAGAGAGGAGACACGGAGCUUCUCUGGUAAGCUGUGGAGGCCCUGUAAUGCUCUAACUGCAUUCUAUGAAAGCUUUUCCUGCAUUAGCAACCUGCCCAUUACCAGAGAAAAGAGAUAUUUUCCCUAAGAUUCUUAGAAUCAUAGCACAGAAAUAGAUCUUAUUAUUCAUUUAUUCAUUCCUACAUUUAUGUAUUCAUUCAUUCAACAAAGAUUUAUUGAGUACUGUUCUAGGCAUUAAAGAGAUAGUGUUUGAGAUGAACAGAUAUUUUCCUUGUCCUCAUGGAACUUACAGUCAGGAAACACAUUAAAGAAAUAAACACACAAAUAUGUAGUUGAUUCAAGUGCAAGUAGAAAGGAAAACAGAAAACUGUAAGAGAGGGAAGCUGAUUUUGAUUGAAGUUUAAUUUAGAGUGGGGAUUUUGAAGAGGCAGAUAACAUUACACACAUUGUUUCUGGUCUCAACAACUCUAUGAAGUGCCUAUUAUCACAACUAUUGUACAGAUAGGGAAACCGAGGUUUAUGGAAAUUGGGUGACUGGGCUAGGGAAGCACUAUUAGUAAGUUUGGAGCAGGUUGUGCUCUCUCUGGUACUCCGUGCUGCAUAACAGAAACCCGGAAGGUGAAAAUUUUCCCACUUCCCACCUUUGCACAUACCAUGCCUACUUCCACCUAAAAUGCCUCUCCCUUCAUUCUUAUUGGAUUCAUAUUCUGCCAUCAGUAUCUAGUUGAGGAUGUACCUCCUCUGUAAAGUUCCUCCUUCUAUCUCAAUAAAUCUCUUUUCUUGUAGGAUUCCUGCAACAAUCAUCAAAUAUUACUUACAUGGCCUUGAACCUAGGAUAGCUUGUCAAGUUAAUUCUCUUUUUCACAUGCUUGCCCUGAUGCUCUUACUCAGAGGCCUACAGACAGUACAAUGCCAUUAGAGCCAGACAGACUUGGGCCUUCUCCCAGUUCUACAGAUUGUUUGAUGGAUGAGCUGAAGAAAGUUUCUUAAUCUCUCUGAACCUUAGAUUCUCCUUGGAGAAUGAUUAUAUCUUACAAAAUACCUUUAAGCAUUUGUCACAGUACUCAACAGACAGAUAAUGUUUGAUACCCCUUCAUCUUCUAACCAAUUCCAUUUUCUAGAUUGGAAGCCUCUGGAGGGCAAAAACCUGGAAUUCUACUUCACAAUCUCAGCAACUAGCAUUGUGCUCUAUAAUAGCAGUGAUUAAUACCUGGUAUAUAAUUAUGGUGAUGACAGCCCUUACCUGCCUACUGCAUCUCUCAUUACUAAUAAGAUUUGUUUUCUCCUAUCUUUCUUCCUUUCUUUCUUUCGCCAUUUAGAUUCCUUUAAGCCUCUCUGAAACUUGACCCUCUGGCAGGAACAGGUGCCAUUACAUACAGACACUCUCUCUCUUCCAAAUUCACCCUGUCAUAUCAAAGGGAAAACUGAAGUGGUCCACUGUAGACCUGACAGAUGAUCACAAACAGGAAACCAGCAAUCAGAAGUGCCUACUGAGCUCCCUACCCUGACCAUCACCUACAGCUACAUUUUACAGAUACAAAAUCAUUGUUUGUUCAACUUUCAUAUCAAAGGAUGCUAUUAGUUCAUUUCCAAAGGUGGGAAAAUGUUUCAACUUACUUUAUUACUUGUCUGCUACUUACUAUUUUCCCUCCGUUUGCCUGCCUGACUUCUUUUAACUCUUCACUCAACAAAUAUCUACUGACUACUGAGCACUUGCCAAGUGCUAGGCCAGAGCUGGAUGCUGUACUACGGGCAGAUGAAGUGCUAUGGGCAUCCAGAGGUGGAAGAAGAGGGUAUAGCGAAAGGGGAGAAAAGGCUGCAACAAUAUUCACUGAGCCCUGUGCUCCCAGGUCAUCACAUAGACUAUGUCAUUAUUCCUCCUAACCACCCACAUGAGUAAAUAGGGGCUAUUACUGAAGAAACAGAGGCUUACAAAGGUUGAGCAACUUGCCCAAGGUCAUCUAUCACAAGACACUACAAGUCAGACUGCUGAAGAGGGAGUUUCUGCUGAGAAGCUGAAGUGGGCAGCUCAUAUUGGAUAUGAAGGCUUCAAAGGAAUCUAAAUCCUAAUGAUCCCUCUAGAGCCAACAUGCAGCACCAGUUUUCUCUUCCACAUUUGAACUGCUCAUCCACUUCCGGCUCCAAGACCUCACUCUCCAUCUAAACUAGUCCCACGCCAUCCAUAUCUUUCUCCACUAACGCCACCCAAUCACAACCCCACAGCCUCUUAGUCAUGAGUCAUUUUUUAAAAACUGCAAACCAUGUAAUGAGCCAUGGCAAUAUGCAACCCUAAACCUCAACACGUGUUUUCCACAACAAGGCCACAGGUGGCAGAAGCGAGCCUAAGGCCGUAGGACACUAAGGCAGGACUCUCUGGCUUGAGCUUUCCAAAAAGGGAGGUGAGAGAAGGUCUACCUGCGGGAAGUCAUGCUGAAGGCCUGAGGCUGAGUCAAAGAAGGAGCCCCCUGGAGGCUCUGCAGUUCCUGGACUUCAGGUAGAGGAACUCUGCCAUGAACACCUCUGGAAUCGUGUCAUUUUGGGACAAUUAGAGAAUAUCAGUUUUCAGACUGAGUUCUAUGGGAAGGUGCCUGCACAACAAAGGAGAGACGGAAUGGACUUCAGGUCUUCCAAAAUACCCCUCAUGUUCACCAAGUUGCUCUCUGCUCUAAGAUACCAGAUGAGGGGGCCAGUGGGGACUGAAACCCAGUCCCCAGUCUGCUGGCCAAUCCCUUUGCCUGUGAGGCUGCUCUGUCCUACCAGAGAGGGCACUUUUCAUAAUUUGCACCAAGUACAGAAUAGGAUAGUGUAGCUUUACCCUUCUCCCUACCAUCAACCACAGACACAUCAACACAUGCACACAUACAGCCACACAAAUAUACCUACAGGCAUACACAUACAACACAGGCACAUACAUGUUUGCACAAAGUCACAUGUAGACACAAACGCAGAGCACACAGACACAAACACAGGCACAAACCCAUACUUACACUACACACACACACAAACACACACAGACACACAAAUGCAAAUUAAGCCACAAUGUAGCACAUAGAGAUAUAGACACAGACGCAAAUACAGUCACAUAGAGAUAUAGACACACACUUAUACACACAUAUAUGUAAAUAUACAGUCUCAUUCACUUUAUACCACACAUGUAUAAACAUACACAAUUGUAUGUAGACACACAUACACAUAGGUACUCAGACCGCAUAGAUACAUAUGUACACACAUACAAAUAUAUGCACAUACACAGAUAUAUAUAUACACACAUGCAUCUUUAACCAGAACAACUUUACUUUUGUCAGUUUUAUAUGACAGAGUCUUUAAAAAAAGAUUUCAUCUGGCUUGUGUUCUACUAUUAAAAGAGAAAAUGAAUUUGCUUGUUUCAAGGA